rnacentral:tRNA from 1 species
GGGAGAGUUCCCGAGUGGUUAAAGGGGGCAGACUGUAAAUCUGUUAGCAUCGCUUUCGUAGGUUCGAAUCCUUCCUCUCCCA